rnacentral:lncRNA from 1 species
GUGCUAUGAAAUUCGACUUUGGUCAUCGUGGAUCUUUAAUGUCACUUGCGUAUGAUUCCUGAGCAUUCGUUUCUCUGUGUUUCCAUAAAAAAGUAGCAUAUCUUUUGCAGAGUAAUCUAUCAUCAAGUCCAUCAUUUGAAACUUGUAAUUCAUCGCUCAAAUACUCGACGUAAGUGGUAACAAAGAGACUACAUUCCCUGCAUUUAUAAAAAUCAGAUAAUCUAUAUCUUGUAAUUAAUGUAAGAGUUGUGAAAUUUAUGAAAAGAAACUAAAUCAUGAUAUUUACAGGCUACCACUGAAUUGUUGAACAAUUCCUUCAACAUAUUCUACAUCAAAUGGAUCACCCAUUUUAUCCCAAUAUGCUUCAAUCGUCGACCAAUCAGUACCAAUUUUUUUGUCAAAAAAGCCACUUAUAUCAGGUAAGUAGGCAAUAUUUUGGCCAGGUUUUGUAUCUCAGACGACAGUCCAGAACAUCUCCUUCGUGACAUUGAGUCAUAAACUUAGAUGUGCCUCUCUUUUAAAAUAAUGACAACCAACAUCCAAUGGAACUCAUCACCACAAUUGAUUGGGAUGUACACUUCGUCAACUAAGUGCCAAGGUAAGCCAGUUGGAAUGCUAAAACCUUUAAUGAUGUUGAUUAAACAUUUCUCAUUUUGGGAAACUUUUAGCUGUUGUUGACAAAGAUCGUAGGCCUUAUAGAUGUAAACUUUGAACAAACAGUUGCCUAUUAUGUAUCUAUAUUGUUGUUGUGUUUGCAACUUGGCCUUCUUUUGGAGGUAGUAAAAAAUAACAUCGAUGUGUUGUACAUUUCAGAUUACGUAAUAAUAAUAAAUAGAUAUAAUUAAAUAUAGUGUUAAUAGUAAGAUAUAUAUAUAUAUAUAUAUAUACACACACACAUAUUUCAGAUUACGUAAUAAUAAUUUUAUCAAAGGUUACGUAUUUGUUUAUUAAUUUUAGUAUAACAUAAUCUGAAAUGUGUGUGUGUAUAUAUAUGUGUGUUAUUUAAACCUCAUCAUUCUAGAAAGUUUGAGGCUAUGAAAUCAAAUAGAACCAAUUCUUCAUUUUGGGAUAAGCAACAACAAAGUCGAACAUAUCAAAACCAAGACCCGAUUGGUUCACUUUGUAAUGUACGUGUUUUCUGCAUGAUUUAUAUGUGUUAAUAUUGUUUUUUACAACAAGAAUUUUAUAAAUCAAUAUUUUUAAAAAUGACUUAUGUAUCUGUUGGCAUAAAGCUUCUUUAACAACCCAUCGACAAUUCAUUCUAAAUAGUCGUUGAUUAACUUUGUUCUUUUGGAUUGACAGACUUUACUUUUUAUUCCUCGUUGGAAAUAGUUGAUGGAUUAUCAACUGUGGUAUGUUGUUCAACAGUAGCUUCUACUGUGACAUCCAUCUGGAAAGCCAAAAUUAUCAGUGCUAAUCACAGAGAUACAAAAAAUGAGAAAAAGAUAACUCAUCAAUUGGAAGAAAUCAAAUAGGUCUUCCUACUAUUUUAAUCUGUUCAAACAGAUGACCCAUCUAUUUUAACAUAUAGGUUAUCUAUUGGAUAAAUUAAAAGACGAGGAAGAACUGAAUGAGAAUUUCCAAAAGAUGGCCCAUCUAUUACACAAAUAACUCAUCUAUUGUAACAAACUAAAAAAGUAGGGAAGUCUUGAUAUAAUUUAUCCCAAUAGAUUACCCAUAUGUACAGAUGGGUCAUCUGUUGGGACAAAUUAAAAUAGUUGGAAACCUUUUUGAUUUCCUCUAAUAGAUAAGACAUACUUUGCAACAUAUAAUGCGUCUGAUGCAACAAGUUAGUCAUCUGUUGCAAUAGAUAUAUAUAUCUAUUUAAUAAUUUUCAGCAAAUGUGUCAUACGUUGAAAUAAAUGUUUAGUUUGUUUGUUUGUUGGAACAGAUGAUAAAUAUUCACCUUCUUUAGAUCAUGCUACUCUCUUGUGGCCCUCGUACAUUACCCAAAAGUGCAAGAUAAAGCCAGAGGAGUUGUAAUUUUGCAUUAUUUGAUGCUUGAUAAUGCCUUGGAAAUUUCUUUCCUUCUCCUCUUAGCUGCCUUAAUAUCUAAUGAAGUGUAUGGAUAUGAAAUCCUCUUAUAUGAAAUGACACCCCUCUUAGAUGUCAAUACCUUUACAGAAGCAGUUAAUGCAUUAAUAGCAUUAAUUACUCUAUCAUAUUUUGCCUUGCAGUUUUGACAUUUGUAAGCAGAACAUUCGUUAAGAGGGGAAAAAUUUAUAAAACCAGUAUGAUCAUAAUUAUAUGAUUUAUUAUUUCAAAAACUACAAAAGGAGCAUCAUUAGCCCCAACAGUAGCACCACUACCACUACCACCAUCAAUAGCUUCAUUACCACUAAUACCAUCAACAACAACAAGCCCACCACCCAAAAUUAUUUUUCUUAUGAUGUUUGUUGCUCCAAACAAUUUUUUUUUACUCUAUCAAUAACUUUACGGUCCGAUAAAAUUUGUACAUACUGUAAAUUAAGAAAAAUGAUAUCUUUAACUCUCGAUUGGUCGAAACAAGUUAUGGAUGCACAAUCUAAAAUAAAUUAGUACAAAUAUUAGAAUGAUGAUUAAAUCAUUUAAAAAAAUCAUUAAUUAAAGCAAAAACUUAAUUAGAAUUAGACUUACUGCUUCCUUUGGGGGUUGAAGAGAUCAAGAAAUUUUACUUUUUUAUCAGUUUUGGUCGACAACCAUCUCAGGAUUCUUGGUCAUGAAACUUCUUCCUAGUAGUUUACUUGUUAUCUCAAAUAAGGAAUGACUUCAAAUGCCCAAGC